UGGUGUGAUUCCGUCCCGCGCGGCUGUUCUCUGGAGCAGCGUUCGUUUAUCUCCGUCCGCCUUCUCUCCCACCUAAGUGUGUGCCACCACCUGAUGGAAGAUUCGAUGGACAUGGAGAUGAGCCCCCUGAGGUCCCAGAACUAUCUUUUCAGUUGUGAACUAAAGGCCGACAAAGAUUAUCACUUUAAGGUGGAUAAUGAUGAAAAUGAGUACCAGUUAUCUUUAAGAACGGUCAGUUUAGGGGCUGGUGCAAAGGAUGAAUUGCCCAUUGUUGAAGCAGAGGCAAUGAAUUACGAAGGCAGUCCAAUUAAAGUAACACUGGCAACUUUGAAAAUGUCUGUACAGCCAACGGUUUCCCUUGGGGGCUUUGAAAUAACACUACCAGUGGUCUUAAGGUUGAAGUGUGGUUCAGGGCCAGUGCAUAUUAGUGGACAGCACUUAGUAGCUGUGGAGGAAGAUGCAGAGUCAGAAGAUGAAGAGGAGGAGGACGUGAAACUCUUAAGUAUAUCUGGAAAGCGGUCUGCCCCUGGAUGUGGUAGCAAGGUUCCACAGAAAAAAGUAAAACUUGCUGCUGAUGAAGAAGAUGAUGAUGAUGAUGAUGAAGAUGAUGAUGAUGAAGAUGAUGAUGAUGAUGGCUUUGAUGAUGAGGAAGCUGAAGAAAAAGCACCAGUGAAGAAAUCUAUACAAGAUACUCCAGCCAAAAAUGCACAAAAGUCAAAUCAGAAUGGAAAAGACUCAAAACCAUCAUCAACACUAAGAUCAAAAGGACAAGAAUCCUUCAAAAAACAGGAAAAAACUCCUAAAACACCAAAAGGACCUAGUUCUGUAGAAGACAUUAAAGCAAAAAUGCAAGCAAGUAUAAAAAAGGUAGUUCUCUUCCCAAAGUGGAAGUCAAGUUCAUCAAUUAUGUGAAGAAUUGCUUCUGGA